UUGGAGGGCAAGUCUGGUGCCAGCAGCCGCGGUAAUUCCAGCUCCAAUAGCGUAUAUUAAAGUUGUUGCAGUUAAAAAGCUCGUAGUUGAAUUUCGGGAUCAGAGUGUCGGUCGUGCCUCGGUACGCACUGGUAUUAUUGGUUCCUACCUUCUGAAGAACCGCGAUGUCAUUAAUUUGGUGUCGUGGGGAAUCAGGACUGUUACUUUGAAAAAAUUAGAGUGUUUAAAGCAGGCUUACGCUUGAAUACAUUAGCAUGGAAUAAUGAAGUAGGACGUUUGAUUCUAUUUUGUUGGUUUCUAGGAUUGACGUAAUGAUUAAUAGGGAUAGUUGGGGGCAUUAGUAUUCAAUUGUCAGAGGUGAAAUUCUUGGAUUUAUUGAAGACUAACUACUGCGAAAGCAUUUGCCAAGGAUGUUUUCAUUAAUCAAGAACGAAAGUUAGGGGAUCGAAGACGAUCAGAUACCGUCGUAGUCUUAACCAUAAACUAUGCCGACUAGGGAUCGGAUGAUGUUAAUUUUUUAAUGACUCAUUCGGCGCCUUACGGGAAACCAAAGUGUUUGGGUUC
rnacentral:rRNA from 1 species